rnacentral:rRNA from 2 species
AGGUGCGAUCAUAUCAGCACUAAUGCACCGGAUCCCAUCAGCACUCCGCAGUCAAGCGUGCUUCGGCAAGAGUAGUACUAGGAUCGGUGACAUCCUGGGAAGUACUCGUGUUGCACCUC